ACGACCGGGGCGCUCUCUGAAAACCGUGAGAAUUCGUCCAAAGGAUAAACAGCCUCUAAUAUGGUGAGUUGCGGGUUCGGAAAAAGGCAGUCAUGGCUAAAAACGAAGGGCGAAAAUGAAGUUAAGAAACUUUGAUUUAUCCAUGGAGGUAGAAAAAGGAAAAAAACAGCCCGUGCAAUCACAGGUUGAGCGCCCCCUUCGAAUUUCACAGUUGGACAAUAAUAAGACGAGAACACGUGGUGUACAUGUGGUACGCCAUUCAUCAAUUCGCGGGCUGCCAGUGACUGCAUAACGGAAUGUUGGAGCAGGUUGAAAGGAAGCCACACACGCAUGUUUUCUGGAGUGUGAGGACUGAUAUUGCAUAUGUGGACUUGCACAGGGCUCCCAUCCCCUCUCGUAGCAGUCCUUGGAGCUGAUCAAAGGAAUGAAUGAGAGGACUACUUUCUGAUAACAAUAAUGAUCAGCAGGAUGUGACAAGACAAGACAGGAACAAGCAAGAUUGGCUUACAUGAUAGUUUAAUUUCAGCAAAUGAAGACCCACUUGAAAGCAUCAUAUCACAUUGUACAACGUUUAUUGGAGAAAAGGAGUGUAUUUCUUGAGGUGGCCCCUGAUGCAUGGAGGAGUGACUGAAAGGAACACUUACAAGCCUCCAUCUUAUGGAUGUUGGUACCAAUUCCUCUGUCUUGCCAAAGAGUGACGCUGGUGUGGACAGUGCUUGGCAGGUACCCUCAGGAGCACUGAUUGGCAGGAG